rnacentral:lncRNA from 1 species
UUUCCAUUUAAUUUUAUUAUUAAGUUUCAGUGGUGAUGUGCAAGUUUCUCCAACUCAGAGUUUGGAAAGGCUGCAGAAGCACACGGACUACGAGCCUACGCAGACUUUGAGUGCAGUAUUUCCAUAAGGCACUCAGAAACUGGAGAGAAGAUCCAUGCACUCUGUGCCCCAGCCAACAAGCAGAGGACUGUCUGCAAGCCUCAUCCAGUCCUGUCACUUCACAUCCCAAGCAGCAGUGCCACGUCCUGAGGAAGUGAUUGACUCUGACAGAUCCUAUGAUGAACUCUCCAGGGCUCCAAUUAUGUUUUCCAACAUUUAGCAUCAUCUCUUUUUCCCUUCACUCCCCCUCCUUGGGGAGAACUUCAGUCUGAGCAGAAGCUCUGUGUGUGUGCAGAUGGGCCAAGAAGGGAUGGGUGUUCUAAUUUCUGCCACUUGUGCUGCAGCACUGGGGAUGGGACGGGAUGGGAUGGGAUGGGAUGGGACGGGACGGGACGGGACAGAAGGGGUCCUGAGAGCACCAAUGGGCCCUAAUGACCCCAAGCAGCCUCACCUGAGACCUCCACCCACAGCCUCUGCCCCAUUUAAGAGCAAUGCUGGUAAAGCAGAUGGUGCUCAUCUUUUAGCCCUAACUGAAGCUUUGCCUUGGUGUUUUCCCCUGUGUUCCUUGAUAGACCAAAGUGUGCUCUGGGUUUCUUGUUCCUCCUUUUGUUCUUGGGGCUUUUUAGCUGUCUGGGGACAAAAGAAUAAGAAAAGCCCUGUGUUGAAGACAGGAGCUUACAGUGGUACAGGUGCACUGGGAAAGUCCGUGGUACCAACCAGUGCUGGGAUGUAUGCAGGCAUUUGUCUCCUCAUCUUGCCAUUCUAGGUUUGCAGAUGAGCUGAGUGUGCUGAUGAAGCUCAGGUACUCACUGCAGGAGGACACCAGCCUGUUGACCAUCCUGAGCCAUCGGAGCCAUGUGCUCUUCCAGAUCCGGGUUAGCCCAUAUGGUUUGGUCUUUGUCACCACGAGGAGGAGGCACUAUGAGUUCCCUGUGUCCCUGCUCAGUGAUGGGCGCUGGCACCGAGUUGCACUCAGCAUCUCCCAGGAGAGCCUGGAGCUGCACGUGGACUGUCGGCUGGUGGAGAGAGCCAGCUGGCCUGGCUACCUGGGGAUGGGUGUGGGCACCGAGGGGCUGCUCAUCAUCGGAGGUCUGGUGGAGUCCUUUGAGAUCCCCUUUGAGGGAGCUCUGCAGCAGCUGACCUUUGUGAUGGGGGAUGCAGCAGCAGCUGGCGAGCAUUGCCACAGCCACACCGUGACAUGUGUGCACUCCUCUGGCCUCAGUCCUCCUCCGAGGGACCACUCUGCAGCAUGGGCAGAGGAUUCCAAGCUCUCCCAUCCAGAUUUGACUUUGGGCCCACCUUGGACAUGGGAGGAUGCCCAGGAGACCCUUAGCCUGCAGCCAGAUGGGAGCAUCCGGACUUUGUUCUCCGCUGCUGAAGUGCCAACAGCUGAAGAGCUGGAGGAGGAAGAGGGAAGCCUUUCCAUUGAGGAUGAAGGCUUUGAGCUGUUGAACUCCACCUAUAAUAAAAUCCCUGGCAGGCCAGGGAUCAGCAGGAGCAGACCACAGAUCAUUGGCAUCCCCAGAUCAUCAGCCAAGAAGGAGCAAGCCUCUGACUCUGGGCAGGAGAACAUCACCAAAGAGAAGCUGAAGGGCAACGCAGACACCCACCUUCUCCUCCCACCCAUCAAGCCUGGCCAUGCCACCAACCCCAUUGCCUCCUCCAAAGUGUUCCCAUCGAGACAACACACAGCUGCACCCGAGGGUUCCUCAGGGAUGGCUGCAGGGGAUCCAGAGCAUCCUCCCACCCCCCUGGGGCACCCCAUCUUGCCAUCAGUGCGCGGAUAUCGGGCUCGUGUGAAGCCAGGACCCCCAGGGCUGCCAGGACCCCCAGGGCUGCCGGUGAGUGGUGGGGGACAAUGGGGAUGGGUGGGUAGGUGGUGUAGGCUGGUUGCAUUUCCAUGGCAGACAGAGAGGAGAAACCCUCACAAUAUUGUCAGCCUGUGGUCCCAUUAUUUGCUUCCCCACCGCUGUAAUACCUAAAAACUUCAUUCAAAGAAACUUAGGAUUUUCCUUUUGGAAACAUGACUCUGCCUUCCUGCUGGGUUGGCGGUAUGACGCGUGUCAGGCCCAUAGCACACCCUUGUG